UCUUUCAAAUAUUGUUGAUUUGAAUUUUUGAGUAAUAAGUAGUGACUGUUUUGUAUUUGUAUUGUUUUGCGAGGACUAAUGCUAUUGACUUUGGUGUUUAACAUGAUCAAGCUCAAGUUACUUAGGUAUUAUUAGUUAAUGCCUUAUGUUGUAAUUUGUCUUUUUGAAAUUAUACUGAUUUAAAUUUUAAGUAAUGAGUAGUGACUAUUUUGCAUUUGUUUUGUUUUGCGAGGACUUAUGCUAUUGACUAAAGGACUCGAUUGGAUGUACCUCGUUAAUUGCGAUGCCUAUGCCUAGGUACUUUUAAAUACAUAUUUCCACACUUUUAAAUAUUGAGGUACGUAACAUUUGCUUUAAAUGUUGUAUAUGUAUCUUGGACCGUAAUUAACUUGAGUUUGAUGUAUCCCGGGUUCAACUUUAAGCUCAAGUAAAUUAGGUAUUAUUAGUUAACGCUUUAUAUGUUACUUUAUCUCUUUCAAAUAUUGUUGAUUUGAAUUUUUGAGUAAUAAGUAGUGACUGUUUUGUAUUUGUAUUGUUUUGCGAGGACUAAUGCUAUUGACUUUGGUGUUUAACGUGAUCAAGCUCAAGUUACUUAGGUAUUAUUAGUUAAUGCCUUAUGUUGUAAUUUGUCUUUUUUAAAUUAUACUGAUUUAAAUUUUAAGUAAUGAGUAGUGACUAUUUUGCAUUUGUUUUUUUUUGCGAGGACUUAUGCUAUUGACUAAAGGACUCGAUUGGAUGUACCUCGUUAAUUGCGAUGCCUAUGCCUAGGUACUUUCAAAUAUAUAUUUUCACACUUUUAAAUAUUGACUUACGGAACAUUUUGCUUAAAUGUUAGAUGUAUUUUGGACCGUAAUUAACUUGGUUUGAAUUCCCCGGGUUCAACUUUAAGCUCAAGUACAUUAGGUAUUAUUAGUUACGCCUUAUGUGUUACUUUAUCUGUUUUAAAUAUUUUGAUUAUAUUUUUUGAGUAAUAAGUAAGUUACUGUUUUGUAUUUGUAUUGUUUUUGCGAGACUAAUUCUAUUGUCCUUUGGUGUUUAAUAUGAAUCAUGCUCAAGUUAAUUAGGUCUUAUUUGUUAAUGUUCCUUAUGUUUGUAUUCUCUCUUGAAAUUGACUUAUUUAAUUUUAAGUAAUGAGUGAGUGCUAUUUUGCAUUUGUUUUGUUUUGCGAGAAUUUAUGCUAUUACUAAAUGACUCGAUUGGAUGUACCUCUUAAUGCAUGCCUAUGCCUAGGUACUUUCAAAUACAUUUUUCUACAGCCUUUACUUAUUGAGGUACGUGACCAUUUGGCUUUAAAUGUUGUUUGAUCUUGGACUGUAAUUAACUUGAGUUUGAUUAUCCCGGUUUCAACUUAAGCUCAAGUAAUAGGUAUUAUUAGUUAACGCCUUUAUGUGUUACUUUAUCUCUUUCAAAUAUUGUUUGAUUUGAUUUUUGAGUAAUAAGUAGUGACUUUUUGUCUUUGUAUGUUUGGGGGCUAGGACUAUUGCUAUGACUUUGGUGUUUAAAUUAUCAGCUCAAGUUACUUAGUAUUCUUAGUUAAUGCCUUCUGUUGGUAAUUUGUCUUUUUUAAAUUAUACUGAUUUAAAUUUUAAUUAUGAGUAGUGACUAUUUUGCAUUUGUUUUGUUUUGCGAGGACUUAUGCUAUUGACUAAGGACUGCGAUUGGAAUGUACCCGUAAGUUGCGAUCCAUGCCUAGGUACUUUCAAAUAAUAUUUCCACAUUUUUAAAUAUUGAGGUAACUAACAUUUGCUUUAAUGUUUGUAUCUGUAUCUUGGACCGUAACUAACUUGAGUUUGAACUUCCCUGGGUUCCACUUUAACUCAAGUAAAUUAGGUAUUAUUAGUUAACGCUUUUGUGUUACUUUAUCUCUUUCAUAAUGUUGAUUUGAUUUUUGAGUAAUAAGUAGUGACUGUUUUGUAGUUUUAUAUUGUUUUUGCGUGAGGACGGGAAUAUAUUGACUUGGUGUUUAACAUGAUCAAGCUCAAGUUACUUAGGUAUUUAUUAGUUAAUGCCUUAUGUUUAAUUUGUCUGUUUGAAAUUAUACUGAUUUAAAUUUUAAGUAAUGAUAUGACUAUUUUGCAAUUUGUUUUGUUUUGUGAGGACUUCUGGUAUUGACCAAGGACUCGUUGGUGUACCUCGUUAAUUGCGAUGCCUAUGCCAAGUACUUUCAAUACAUAUUCGACACCUUUAAAUAUUGAGGUACCGUAACAUUUGCGUUAAAUGUUUUGUAUGUUUAAUCUUAGCCCGUAAAUUACUUGAGUUUGAAGUUCCUCGGGUUCACUUUAAAGCUCAAUGUAAAAUAGGUAUUGUUAGUUACCGCCUUUGUUGUACUUUAUCUUCUUCAAAUCAUGUUGAUUUGAAUUUUUUGCGUAGAAGUAGUGACUGUUUUGUAGUUCUAUUGUUUUGCGAGGACGAAUGCUAUUGAAUUUGUGUUUAACAGAUCAAGCUCAAGUUACUAGGUAUUAUAUUGAAUGCCUUUGUUGUAAUUUGUCUUUUUGAAAUUAUACUGAUUUAAAAUUUUUAAGUAAUGAGUAGUGGCUAUUUGCAUUGGUUUGUUUUGCGAGGACGUAUGCUAUUGACUAAAGGACUCGAUUGGUGUACCUCGUUAAUUGGCGAUGCCUAUGCCUAGGUUACUUUCAAAACAUUUUUGCACACUUUUAAAUAUUGAGGUACGUAACAUUUUGGGUCUUUUAAAUGUUGCAAUGAAUCUUGGACGUAAUUACUUGAUUUUGAACUUCCCCGGAUUCAACUUUAGCGCAAGCAAAUUUAGUAUUAUUAGUUAACGCUUUUGUGGUUACUUUUAUCUGUUUUAAAUAAGUUGAUUUAUAUUUUUGCGUAAUAAGUAGUUACUGUUUUGUUAUGGUAUUGUUUUGCGAGGACUAUGCUAUUGCUUUGGUGUUUAACAUGAUCAAGCACAAGUUCUUAGGUAUUUUAUUAAUGCCUUAUGUUGUAAUUGUCUUUUUGACAUUGUACUGAUUUAAAUUUAAGUAUGAGUAGUGACUAUUUUGCAUUUGUUUGUUUUGCGAGGACUUAUGCGAUUGACUAAAGGACUCGAUUGGAUGUACCUCGUUAAUUGCGAUGCCUAUGCCUAGGUACUUUCAAAUACAUAUUUCCACACUUUUAAAUAUUGAGGUACGUAACAUUUGCUUUAAAUGUUGUAUAUGUACUUGGACCGUAAUUAACUUGAGUUUGAUGUUUCCCGGUUCAACUUUAAGCUCUAGUAAAUUAGUUAUUAUUAGUUAACCCUUUUAUUGUUACUUUUAUCUCUUUCAAAUUUUUUUUAUUUGCCUUUUUGCGUGCCUCCGUCGUUCCUGUUUUGUCUUUUUUACUUGUUUUUUGGGCGCGUCUACUGCUCCUUAUCCUUUGUGUUUUUCCCCUUCUCCCUCUCCCUUUCCUUUCGUUCUUCUUCUUUCCCUGCCUAUUGUUGUAUUUGUCUUUUUUAAAUUAUACUGAUUUUAAAUUUUUAAGUAAUGAGUAGUUACUAUUUUGCAUUUGUUUUUUUUUGCUAUGCCUUAUGUCUAUUGACCCAGGACUCUGAUUGGAUGUACCUCGUUAAUUGCGAUGCCUAUGCCUAGGUACUUUCAAAUACAUAUUUUCACAACUUUAAUAUUGACGUUACGGAACAUUUGCCUUUAAAUGUUAUAUGUAUUUUGGACCGUAUUAACUUGAGUUUGGAAGUUUCCCCGGGUUCAACCUUUAAGCUCCAAGUACAUAGGUAUUUAUUAGUUUAACGCCUUCUGUGUUUACUUUAUCUUUUUUAAAUAAUGUUUCUUAUAUUUUUCCUUGAAUAAGUAGUUUACUUGUUUGUAUUUGUAUUGUUUUGGCGAGGACUAAUGCUAAUGACUUUGGUGUUUAAUAUGAUCAAGCUCAAGUUAAUUAGGUAUUAUUUGUUAAUGCCUCUUAUGUUGUAAUUUCUCUCUUUGAAAUUGUACUUAUUUAAGUUUUAAGUAAUGAGUAGUGGCUAUUUUGAAUUUGUUUUGUUUUGCGAGAAUUUAUGCUAUUGACUAAAGGACUCGAUUGGAUGUACCUCGUUAAUUGCGAUGCCUAUGCCUAGGUACUUUCAAAUACAUAUUUCCACACCUUUAAUUAUUGAGGUACGUAACAUUUGCUUUAAAUGUUGUAUAUGUAUCUUGGACCGUAAUUAACUUGAGUUUGAUGUAUCCCGGGUUCAACUUUAAGCUCAAGUAAAUUAGGUAUUCUUAGUUAACGCCUUAUGUUUGUACUUUAUCUCUUUCAAAUAAGUUGAGUGAAUUUUUGUUAGUCAUAAGUAGUGCCUUUUUUUGUAUUUUUUUAUUUUUUUUGCUCUUACUCCUACUCUUUCCUUUUUUGUUUAAACAUGAUCAAGCCUCACGUUACUUAGGUUUUAUAGUUUAAUUCUUAUGUUGUAAUUUGUCUUUUUGAAUUAUACUGAUUUAAAUUUUUAAGUAAUGAGUCGUGGCUAUUUGGCUUUGUUUUGUUUUGCGAGGACUUCUGCUAUUGACUUAAAGGACUCGAUUGGAGUACCUCGUUAAUUGCGAUGCCUAUACCUAGGUACUUUCAAAUACAUAUUUCACACUGUUAAAUAUUGAAGUACGUAACAUUGUUUUUUAAAUGUUGGGUAUAUGUAUUUUGAACGCGUAAUUACACUUGAGUUGUUGAGGUUCCCGGGUUCAACUUUUAUCGCUCAGGUAAAUUAUUUCUUAUUAAGUUCACUCUUUAUUUUGUUCCUUUAUCUCUUUCAAAUAUUUUGAUUUGAAUUAUUGAGUAUAAGUUGAUUGUUUUGUAUUUUGUAUUGUUUUGUCGAUGACUAUCCGCUUGACUUUUGGUGUUUAACAUGAUCAAGCUCACGUUACUUAUGUAGUAUUAGUUUAAAGCCUUAUGUGUUAAUUUGUCUUUUUGAAAUUAUACUGAUUUAAAUUUUAAGUAAUGAUAAGUGACUAUUUUGCAUUUGUUUUUGGUUUUGCUAGGACUUAGGCGAUUGCUAAAGGACUCGAUUGGAUGUACCUCGUUAUUCGAUGCCUAUGCCUAGGUACUUUCAAAUACAUAUUUCCACACUUUUAAAUAUUGAGGUACGUACAUUUUGCUUUAAAUGUUGUAUAUUUGUAUCUUUGACCGUACUUAACUUGUAGUUUGAUUUUUUCCCGGGUUCAACUUUAAGCUCAAUAAAUUAGGUAUUAUGUUAACGCUUAUGUGUUUAUGUUCUCUUUCAAAUUGUUGAGUGCCUUUUUGUCGUCCUCCGUCGUGCCUGUUUUGUAUUGUAUGGUUUUGCGAGGACCAAUGCUAUUGACUUUGGUGUUUAACAUGAUCAAGCUCAGUUACUUAGGUAUUUAUUAGUUAAUGCCUUAUGUUUGUAAUUUGUCUUUUGAAAUUAUACUGAUUUAAAUUUUAAGUAAUGCAGUAUUGACUAAUUUGCAUUUGUUUUUGUUGUUGCCGAGUACUUAACAAUUGACUAAAGGACUCGAUUGGAUGUACCUCGUUAAUUGCGAUGCCUAUUCCUAGGUAACUUCAAAUACAUAAUUUUUACUUUUAAAUAUUGAGUCUAACAUUUGUUUAAAUGUUGUGUAUAUGUAUUUUGGAACCGUAAUUAACUUGAGUUUUUUGAAGUUCCCCGGGUGUCAACUUUCAGCUUUAGUAAAUUAUGUAUAUUAGUUAACGCUUUAUGUGUUACUCCUUUGUCUCUUCAAUAAUGUUGAUUUGAAUUAUGAUUAAUAAUUAGUGACUGGUUUUGUAUUUGUAUUGUUUUUUUGCGAGGACUAAAGCAUUGACUUUGGAUGUUUAAUAUGAGCAAGCUCAAGUUAUUAGGUAUUAUUUGUUAAUGUCUUAUGUUGUAAUUUCUCUCUUUGAAAUUGUACUGAUUUAAAUUUUCAGUAAUGAGUAGUGACUAUUUUGCAUUUGUUUUGUUUUGCGAGGACUUAUGCUAUUGGACUAAAGGACUCGUUGGAUGUACCUCGUAAUUGCGAUGUCCUAUACCUAGGUACUUUCAAAUACAUAUUUUCACACUUUUAAUAUUGAGGUCGUAACAUUUGUUUUAAAUGUUGUUAUGUAUCUUGACCGAUAAGAACUUUAGUUUGAACUUCCCGGGUUCAACUUUAAGCUCAAGUAAAUUAG
rnacentral:lncRNA from 1 species